ACGGGAGGCAGCAGUGGGGGAUAUUGCACGAUGGGGGAAACCCUGAUGCAGCAAUGCCGCGUGAGGGAAGACGGUCUUCGGAUUGUAAACCUAAGUAGUCAGGGACGAUAAUGACGGUACCUGAAAAGUAAGCUCCGGCUAACUACGUGCCAGCAGCCGCGGUAAUACGUAGGGAGCAAGCGUUGUCCGGAUUUACUGGGUGUAAAGGGUGCGUAGGCGGGUUUGCAAGUCAGGCGUGAAAUACCGGGGCUUAACUCCGGGGCUGCGCUUGAAACUGUAGAUCUUGAGUGAAGUAGAGGCAGGCGGAAUUCCCAGUGUAGCGGUGAAAUGCGUAGAUAUUGGGAGGAACACCAGUGGCGAAGGCGGCCUGCUGGGCUUUAACUGACGCUGAGGCACGAAAGCAUGGGGAGCAAACAGGAUUAGAUACCCUGGUA
rnacentral:rRNA from 1 species